ACCCGCUGAAUUUAAGCAUAUAAGUAGGUGGCGCACAAGAAACAUACAAGGACUCCCACAGUAGUGGCGAAUGCACAUGGGGCAAACUCAGUAUGAAAAUUGGGGUGUUUGGUCCUGAGUUGUAGUCUUGCAAUGCGCUACCAGAGGAUAUGCAGCUACAGGCUCUUGGAAAGGAGAGUCCGUGAGGUUGAAAAACCCUGUGUGCUGGCUGCAGCACUCCGGCAAUCGGUGUGCUGUUUUUCGAGUCGUGUACCUUUGCACUGUUGCAUGAAGCGGUGGUAAUGUUUAUCCAAAUAUGAAGAAGUGUUUGAGACCAAUAGACAACAAGUACCUUAAGGGAAAGGUGAAACAUAACUUUGUAAAGAGAGAUAACUAUGUUUGAACCUGCUGAAUUUGACGUGAAUGGUGACAGUGUCAUGUGGUAGGAUGUCUGUGUGUUGCCGCGUUUGUCUGCUGUUUGUGUAUUUGUGUAGCAGCAGGACUUGAGCAGGAUGCACAUAGUGCAUCUGGCCCCACCAAUCAAUAUCAGCAUGCUGCUUAGGCAUAGCGGCAGGGAUCUGGUUGACCAUCCCUUGGUGGAAGAAGUCAUCCGUGCUGCUAGUGCAGGUGCACCUUGGUGAAUAGACAGAUCCAUUUGGCCCGCCUUGAAACACGGAUCAAGGAGUUUAAUAUACAUGCAAGUAUAUGGGUGGCAAGCCUGUGUGCUCAGUGAAAGUACUGGCUGGGAUUGUUGCACCAGCAGCCAAUCAUUUGCCAAAGACAUGCCCGAGUAUGAGCAUGCCUAUUAGGGCCCGAAAGAUGUGAACUAUGUCUGUGAAUGGCAAACCCAGGGGGAACUCUGAUGGAGGCCUGUAGCGAUACUAACGUGCAAAUUGUUCGCCAUGCAUGGGCAUAGGGGUGAACGACUAAUCGAACCAUCUAGUAGCUGGUUCCCUCUGAAGUUUCCCUCAGAACAGCUGGGCAUGACUAGUUUUACUAAGCAAAGCAAAUGAUUAGAGGCAUUGGGGGCCUGCCGUCCUUGACCUAUUCUCAAACUCUAACGAGGUAAGCCCCAGCAGUUACUUGUUUGAACAACUGUGGCAAGUGACAGUCCCAAGUGGGCCAUUCUUGGUAAGCAGAACUGGCGAUGCGAGGUGAACCUAAUGUUACACUAAGGUGCACCAGUGCUCGCUCAUCAGAUACCAUAAAGGGUGUUGGUUCAUCUUGACAGCAGGACGGUAGUCAUGGAAGUUGAAAUCCAAUAAGGAGUGUGUAAUAACUCACCUGCCGAAUGGACUAGCCCCCAAAAUGGAUGGCGCUCAAGUUGGCAACCGAUGUCUGGCCAAUGUUGCUGGUUGGUUGCACCAGUGAGUAGGAGGGUAUGUGGCCUUGUGAAGAAGCUUUCGGGUGCAAGCCGAAGCGAAACAUAUCCAGGUGCAGAUCUUGGUGGUAGUAGC
rnacentral:rRNA from 1 species